AUUGAACGCUGGCGGCAGGCCUAACACAUGCAAGUCGAGCGAGCGGCGGACGGGUGAGUAAUGUAUGGGGAUCUGCCCGAUCGAGGGGGCUAACUACUGGAAACGGUGGCUAAUACCGCAUACGAUCGGAUGAACCCAUAUGGGAUUAGCUAGUAGGUGGGGUAAAGGCUCACCUAGGCGACGAUUUCUAGCUGGCCUGAGAGGAGGAUCAGCCACACUGGGACUGAGACACGGCCCAGACUCCUACGGGAGGCAGCAGUGGGGAAUAUUGCGCAAUGGUCGCAAGCCUGAUGCAGCCAUGCCGCGUGUGUGAAGAAGGCCUUAGGGUUGUAAAGCACUGUCAGCGGAGAGGCGUUACCCGCCCAGGAAGCCCCGGCUAACUCCGUGCCAGCCGCCGCGGUAAUUC
rnacentral:rRNA from 1 species